rnacentral:tRNA from 1 species
GUUCCUGUAGUUGAAAAUAACAACAACGGCUUUUCAAGCCGUAGGUCUCGGGUAGUGGCCGAGCAGGAAUAA